rnacentral:lncRNA from 1 species
GGUUUGCUUUUCCAGAGUGGGGAAGCAAAUCAGCUUUUAUGAAAGAUGGAUUUUAGCUCUUUGAAACAAGAUGCUUAGAAUAAGAUGACUUUGCAAUAUUUUUGGGACUCGAAACCUAACAGAUAAGAAAAUUUGCUAUAUACAGAUGAAUUUCUCUUCAUCUCUGUGUUAUAACUUUGGCAUCAAGUAAUGUUUUUCAUCAUUUAAUUUUCUUCUUUGAACUUCAGUAUAAAAUUGAAAAACAAAUCUUAAAGACACAGAAAUUGAACCUGUCCAUUUGGCAUCGGGAUACAUUUAAGCGCAAUAGUUUCCUAGGGGAGGUGGAACUUGAUUUGGAAACAUGGGACUGGGAUAACAAACAGAAUAAACAAUUGAGAUGGUACCCUCUGAAGCGGAAGACAGCACCAGUUGCCCUUGAAGCAGAAAACAGAGGUGAAAUGAAACUAGCUCUCCAGUAUGUCCCAGAGCCAGUCCCUGGUAAAAAGCUUCCUACAACUGGAGAAGUGCACAUCUGGGUGAAGGAAUGCCUUGAUCUACCACUGCUAAGGGGAAGUCAUCUAAAUUCUUUUGUUAAAUGUACCAUCCUUCCAGAUACAAGUAGGAAAAGUCGCCAGAAGACAAGAGCUGUAGGGAAAACCACCAACCCUAUCUUCAACCACACUAUGGUGUAUGAUGGGUUCAGGCCUGAAGAUCUGAUGGAAGCCUGUGUAGAGCUUACUGUCUGGGACCAUUACAAAUUAACCAACCAAUUUUUGGGAGGUCUUCGUAUUGGCUUUGGAACAG